rnacentral:rRNA from 1 species
CCCGAGGAGGCAUCUCCUCGGGUUUAAAGGAAGCGAUUCCGGCUACGGAUGGUCAUGCGUCGCAUUAGCUAGUUGGCGGGGUAACGGCCCACCAAGGCGACGAUGCGUAGGGGUUCUGAGAGGAAGGUCCCCCACACUGGUACUGAGACACGGACCAGACUCCUACGGGAGGCAGCAGUGAGGAAUAUUGGUCAAUGGCCGCAGGGCUGAACCAGCCAAGUCGCGUGAGGGAUGACGGUCCUAUGGAUUGUAAACCUCUUUUGUCAGGGAGCAAAGGGCGCCACGUGUGGUGUUUUGCGAGUACCUGAAGAAAAAGCAUCGGCUAACUCCGUGCCAGCAGCCGCGGUAAUACGGAGGAUGCGAGCGUUAUCCGGAUUUAUUGGGUUUAAAGGGUGCGCAGGCGGAAUGUCAAGUCAGCGGUAAAAUUUCGGGGCUCAACCCCGUCGUGCCGUUGAAACUGGCGUUCUUGAGUGAGCGAGAAGUAUGCGGAAUGCGUGGUGUAGCGGUGAAAUGCAUAGAUAUCACGCAGAACUCCGAUUGCGAAGGCAGCAUACCGGCGCUCAACUGACGCUCAUGCACGAAAGCGUGGGUAUCGAACAGGACUAGAUACCCUGGUAGUCCACGCAGUAAACGAUGAAUACUAACUGUCCGGGCAGAAUGAUGCCUGGGUG